GCCGCUGCUCCGGGGUGUGCGAAAGCGCUGAGAUGCAAAGGGCCUGAUGGUUGAUCCAUCAGGCGGCCUGCGAACCCGACGAACUUGAUCCGGUUCAUACCGGCGGAAGAAGAGCCGACCUUCAUGCC
rnacentral:ncRNA from 2 species